CAGCCGCCGCGGUAAUACGUAGGGGGCGAGCGUUACCCGGAUUCACUGGGCGUAAAGCGGGUGUAGGCGGCUCGGUAAGUCGAGUGUGAAAUCCCACAGCUCAACUGUGGAAUUGCGCCCGAAACUGCUGAGCUUGGGGCCGGUAGAGGGAGACGGAACUGCCGGUGUAGGGGUGAAAUCCGUAGAUAUCGGCAGGAACGCCGGUGGGGAAGCCGGUCUCCUGGGCCGCGCCCGACGCUGAGACCCGAAAGCUAGGGGAGCAAACCGGAUGAGAUACCCGGGUAGUCCUAGCCGUAAACGAUGCCCACUAGGUGUGGGGGAUUAAUUUCUCCGUGCUGUAGCUAACGCGUUAAGUGGGCCGCCUGGGGAGUACGCCCGCAAGGGUGAAACUUAAAGGAAUUGGCGGG
rnacentral:rRNA from 1 species